rnacentral:rRNA from 1 species
GGCGUGGGAAUAAGGAGAGGGCAAGUCUGGUGUCAGCCGCCGCGGUAAUACCAGCUCUCCGAGUGGUAGGGACGAUUAUUGGGCUUAAAGCGUCCGUAGCCGGCUCAGCAAGUCUCCCGUUAAAUCCAACGAUUCAAUCGUUGGACUGCGGGAGAUACUGUUGAGCUAGGAGGCGGGAGAGGCCGACGGUAUUCCCGGAGUAGGGGUGAAAUCUUAUAAUUCCGGGAGGACCACCAGUGGCGAAGGCUGUCGGCUAGAACGCGCUCGACGGUGAGGGACGAAAGCUGGGGGAGCGAACCGGAUUAGAUACCCGGGAGUCC